rnacentral:rRNA from 1 species
GAUGAACGCUGGCGGCGUGCCUAAUACAUGCAAGUCGAGCGAACAGACGAGGAGCUUGCUCCUCUGACGUUAGCGGCGGACGGGUGAGUAACACGUGGAUAACCUACCUAUAAGACUGGGAUAACUUCGGGAAACCGGAGCUAAUACCGGAUAAUAUAUUGAACCGCAUGGUUCAAUAGUGAAAGACGGUUUUGCUGUCACUUAUAGAUGGAUCCGCGCCGCAUUAGCUAGUUGGUAAGGUAACGGCUUACCAAGGCAACGAUGCGUAGCCGACCUGAGAGGGGAACCGCCACACCGGGACUUAGAAACGGGCCCAGACCCCAAGGGGAGGCAGAAGUAGGAAUCUUCCGCAAUGGGCGAAAGCCUGACGGAGCAACGCCGCGUGAGUGAUGAAGGUCUUCGGAUCGUAAAACUCUGUUAUUAGGGAAGAACAAAUGUGUAAGUAACUAUGCACGUCUUGACGGUACCUAAUCAGAAAGCCACGGCUAACUACGUG